rnacentral:rRNA from 1 species
UACGAAGGGGGCUAGCGUUGCUCGGAAUCACUGGGCGUAAAGCGCACGUAGGCGGACUCUUAAGUCGGUGGUGAAAUCCUGGAGCUCAACUCCAGAACUGCCUUCGAUACUGAGAGUCUCGAGUCCGAGAGAGGUGAGUGGAACUGCGAGUGUAGAGGUGAAAUUCGUAGAUAUCAGGAAGAACACCCGUGGCUAAGGCGGCUCUCUAGUACGGUACUGACGCUGAGACGCGAAAGCGUGGGGAGCGAACAGG